AAAAUAAUAAAAAAAACGGGAAAAGUAUAUUUUAAAGAUAUCAAGAUAGAUAAGUUUCUGUAAAAGGAAAUAUUAAAUGAAUAAUAGAUUGCAAAUUAUGAGAUUUUACUAUUUCUUUUUCUUCUUUUUCCCUAAGGGGUGCUAUUGUGAUAUAAUCUGUAAUGCCAACUGAUUUAUCAUCCAAUGUAUAGCUUGAUAUCUCAAAUCGAGCAUAUAUAUGUUAUUUUUGUGUGAUUUUCUUAUGUUUCUACAAGUAGCAUUUUUUUCUUAAUAUUUCUACUUAAUUAUCUAGUAUCAUGAAUUUCGAUAUAUCCAUUAAACAUGUAUCCAAAAUGAUAAAAAAAAAGUUGUUUUGGGGUUUUUUUUUUUGCGAGAUGUCCUACGGAAGAGUUACGUCACCAAGACUGGCUCCUCGUUCUUCUGUACCUGCAACAAACGGAAGCUCCGGUUGUUCGGAGUUUCGCCUCCGACGAUCAAGUUAGUACGUGUUUGGAGAGUAAAAUGCGAAAAACGAAGGCUGCUAGGUGAACGUUUCGGAGGUUACUUACCUUGAGAUUUACGCGCAAUUCAAGGUUGGUAAGAGGGUACUCGGUUACGUGUGAGGAGACGUUAGAAUAAUCAUGUAGCUAAGACAAUUUAGUUUAAUUCCGAACUUAUUUAUUUUCCUUUUUAAUUAGUGUUUUUUAAAAUGUUUUAUAGUUUGGAUGUAACGACUAUUUUAUUUUUUGCUGUCACUCGGAUCACUUAGUUUAUAAAAUGGUAUUUCGUUUUGCUUUGCAUUUGUUUUCUAUAGAAGAUAAGUGUAGCUGUAACACUCCCAAGGUUCGACGGUUGGUUUGAAAGGUAAAAAGGUUACUCUUAUCGUUUUACAAAGACUUGAAUUUUGGGGGUGUUACAGUGCCACCUCGGUUAUCUCCUUGGAGAACGCAGAGGGUUGUUCUCCAAGU